rnacentral:rRNA from 2 species
CAACUUUCAGCAAUGGAUCUCUUGGUUCUCGCAUCGAUGAAGAACGCAGCGAAUUGCGAUAAGUAAUGUGAAUUGCAGAUUUCCAGUGAAUCAUCGAAUCUUUGAACGCAUCUUGCGCUCCUUGGUAUUCCGAGGAGCAUGCCUGUUUGAGUGUCAU